UACGGAGGGGACUAGCGUUGUUCGGAAUUACUGGGCGUAAAGCGCACGUAGGCGGAUUUGUAAGUCAGGGGUGAAAUCCCGGGGCUCAACCUCGGAACUGCCUUUGAUACUGCAAAUCUCGAGUCCGGAAGAGGUGAGUGGAAUUCCUAGUGUAGAGGUGAAAUUCGUAGAUAUUAGGAAGAACACCAGUGGCGAAGGCGGCUCACUGGCCCGGUACUGACGCUCAUGUGCGAAAGCGUGGGGAGCAAACAGG
rnacentral:rRNA from 1 species